rnacentral:antisense_RNA from 1 species
GCAGCAGCAGAUGAUGCAAGAAUCCUUGGCUACUGAGUGUUCUGGGCAAAGUAGAGCUUGCUACCCUCCAGACCCACGUGGGGCUGCUGGACAAUGACAGGAGGCUGUUGUCUCACUGGGAUGCUGGCUCCUGGAUUAUGAUGGGAAUACCUCACAGGGCACUGCACAGGCUACUGAACUGCGUCCCAAACCUCCACCUUCCUGCAUGAAGGUCCCAAAGAGAAACCUGUCCUUGGCACUGACUUCUACAUAGACUUGCUAUAUAAAUAGGGAAAGCCAGGCACCUCUCAGUUUCUGCAUCCAGAAAAUAUAUUAACAUUUAUUAUAAAGAUCAGUUGAAACAGAGAAUGUGGCGUUCUUGUAGCAGUGUAAUGAGGAAUAAAACUGGAAGUAAUAAUAAUAACAACAUCAAAUAAAUUACUGGAACACUGAUUUAUGCAUGUGAUGCUACUAAGUAAUUUCAUACUUUAUUUCAUGUU